rnacentral:tRNA from 1 species
GGAAAGGUGCCAGAGCGGUCGAAUGGGGCGGUCUCGAAAACCGUUGUACAGGUAACUGUACCGAGGGUUCGAAUCCCUCCCUUUCCGC